ensembl:lncRNA
GUGGCGCUGCGACCCAGAGUUUAUGUCGGCCUAUGGAUGUGAUCAGGACUGGACUCUGAUCACACCUGUAAAGUCUGAGGCAGAUCGGAGCAUGUUUAGGGCAGUUACACAGCAGUUGAUGUUUCAUGGCGAAGCAUCAAAAUUCACGAGGCCGCCAUGGCCACGCCCUCAGACUUAAGUGUCUCAUGUGGCCCUGCAGCUUCUCCUCCUCCACCUCCUCCUGAAGCCUUCAUCUUCUUCAUCAUCAGCUGCUCAGUGACUCUGUUGGACGUCUCACCGUGUGGCAGCAGCUCAGGAGUUUGCAGUCAACCAAGGCCGACUCAGAAUCACUCCCACCGGGAAGAUCUGUGAAGGAAGGUCCACCCGGCUGGUCCAGAAGCUCCGGUCCAGCAGAGCAGCGUCAGGAUGGAGACGUAACCGGGUGAGUUAACAAGAGAGGCGACACAUUCACAUAGAAAAUCCAACAAUUCCUUCUGUUUUUACAGUUUGUGACUCUGGUAAAUGGUGUCAUUUUUCAAAGCUGGUGGG